rnacentral:rRNA from 1 species
AUGCACGCUGGCGGCGUGCUUAACACAUGCCAGUCGCACGAUGAAGCCCAGCUUGCUGGGUGGAUUAGUGGCGAACGGGUGAGUAACACGUGAGUAACCUGCCCUUAACUCUGGGAUAAGCCUGGGAAACUGGGUCUAAUACCGGAUAGGAGCGUCCACCGCAUGGUGGGUGUUGGAAAGAUUUAUCGGUUUUGGAUGGACUCGCGGCCUAUCAGCUUGUUGGUGAGGUAAUGGCUCACCAAGGCGACGACGGGUAGCCGGCCUGAGAGGGUGACCGGCCACACUGGGACUGAGACACGGCCCAGACUCCUACGGGAGGCAGCAGUGGGGAAUAUUGCACAAUGGGCGCAAGCCUGAUGCAGCGACGCCGCGUGAGGGAUGACGGCCUUCGGGUUGUAAACCUCUUUCAGUAGGGAAGAAGCGAAAGUGACGGUACCUGCAGAAGAAGCACCGGCUAACUACGUG